ensembl:lncRNA
GGGGGGAGAUGCAGUAGGAGGAGGCAAAGGGAGAGGAGGGGAGGGUGAAGAUGUGGGAGGAGGAAGAGAAGGAGGAGCUAUCAGCUGUGGCAGAGAGUGGAUGGUGGGUACUGCGCUGAGCAGACAAGUGUGAGACUGAGGCUGCCACAGCCUAAGCAGGUUGGGAAGAGAAGGAGGGCUUGAGGCCACAGCUGAAGUGGAACAGGAGGGAGAAGGGAGCCGGGGCCCAGGCUGAGUGCGCACAGUUGCGGCUGAAAAUGGAAGUCAUGGGUGGACAGGCCCCUGGGGGGCCUGGAGGUCUGGCAGCGGUAAAUAUGGGGCCUGAAGCCCUCAUCCUAGCAGUGGCAGUGGCUGGGGCUGGAGGAGGGCCGGGGCCUACGACAGCGGCCGGGAGUGGAUCAAGUCCAGAGUCCGAGACAUGGACAUGGACAUGGACAUGGAAGGGGGAGUGGUCAGGGCAGGAUAUAGCACUAGGCCCGACGUUGGCCGCUCUAUUGCUGCUGUACGCUGCAUUAUGGGCCAGUGUGGUAGAGCUGAGAUGGAGGGUCCUGGACCUUGCGCAGCAGCAGGAAGAAGAACCAGACCCAGAAGCAGGGGCAGAGGAAAGGGCAGAGACAAAGACAGAAGUAGACGCAGGGGCGGAAGCAAAGCAGGUGCAGGAGCAGGAGGCUAAACAGGAGUCAGAGCUCGAACACAAGCCAGAGGCAGUGCCCGAGAUGGAGAAGGAGCCAAAGGCAGAGCUGGAGGAGCUACGGGAGCCUUCGGGUGCUUGGGGCCCAAAGGAACCUGCAUCUUUAUGUGAGAUAGGGCCCUGGAUCAAUGGGCCUACGCCAAUGGUGUGCGCCUGCCCUAGGGAACUAGCAGGUUCAACGGUUGCUGUCCGCUCGGGUAUGGUGCUGAAAUUGACGCCAUUGUACGCAAGAUCAGGGGGUUUGCUGCUGUCUCACUCUCAGCAAGAGAUCCUAGAUCAGCGCAGCUUUCGAUUCCCGCGUCCUUUCGGAGUGGAUCUGGUCUGCUCGAACAGCUUCUGGAACAAUGGACCCUUCUUCCCUCGGCUUGGAGCCUUCCAAGAGCAUCUGCUUAACCUACUAGAGCAGGAGUCCUGCCAAGCCAGGACCAACAUCCUCAUCUUCCUGGACACCAAGGUCAUGAAAAAAUUCUACAAUCAGGUUUUCAAUGCCUACAAAAUGAAUGGAGAACCAAAAAUGAGUGGCCUACCACUCCAGCAGCUCUUUGAGAUCUUGCUGUCCUGUAAGAAGAUCACAAGUACCUAUAUUAAGAGGAACAUUGCUGUAACCAUAGAGGGGGAAGCUGCACAUUUGCUCAAUUUUGAUACAGGGUAUGAUGUGAAUCUUGGACUUCGGGGCCUGGAAUCAAAUGAAGAAAUAGUCACCAACAUGGCAACAAUGGAGAACUGUACAGAUGUUUUCCAGCCUCUGUCAACUAAUGCUAAACAACCCAGCGAAAUUGUUGAAGAAUUUAAAAAUGAUGGGUUGUUUGGUGAUCAUUUUGAGUGAACAGUUGCAAGGAGAAAAGGUCUUCCAUAUAUGGUAGACCUAUCUAGCCAGGAUAUUCUUGCAAAAGCCUCCAAAGUUAGUGAAAAUACUCCUAAUGAGCAAAUUGUGUUGUCAUGGUUUCAUGCCUUUAAAUGUAGAUCAAACAAAUCUGGUUAUAAAAUAUAGGAUUCCAAUGAACUGUCAGUUUCACACACUGGAAAAACACAAACAUACACACACACACCACUGUCAUGCUUAGUAUAAACUGGGUUACCAAGGAUAAAAAAAAUGCAGUACUUGAUGUCUUGUGAUUUCAUGAGAAAGAAUGAGGUACUAGAGCUCUGGUCCCCCCUUACUUGUAAAGAUAUCAUGGAAUGGCAGAGGAGGACACAGAAACACAGAAUUCACAGCUGGGAGAGACCCUGAACAUAGUACAAAGGAUGCCACAUUUAGGAGGGAUCUUAAAGAGGUUCCGUUAGAGGAGUCUGCAGUUAGCUUUAGUGUCUCUCUUCAAAUAUGUGCCAAAAUAAGGAAUGGAGACUGUACUUGUAUGUUGAUUCCUUUCAUUAAUGCACUAUGAAUCACCCCAUUAGAGAAAUGUUGAUUGUAUGUGAUCCUAUAUAUAAUGCCCAUCUGUAGAGCAUAGUUAUUAAAGUGAUAUUAUUGUUUCUUAUAUAGUAAAUGAAUAUUGUUGGUCUUUUUUGUAUUGUAUUAAUGGAUAAGUUAAAUAAAUAUAUAAAACAGUAUGUAUGAAGUUGGUGG